rnacentral:rRNA from 1 species
CGGCCGCGGUACCCUAACCGUGCGAAGGUAGCAUAAUCACUUGUUCUUUAAAUGAGGACUUGUAUCAACGGCAUCACGAGGGUUACACUGUCUCCUUUUUCCAAUCAGUGAAACUGAUCUCUCCGUGAAGAAGCGGAGAUUUUUUUAUAAGACGAGAAGACCCCAUGGAGCUUUAAACCCACCUGCACUCCUAUUUUCUAUUGCCUCUAAAACUAUGGAAUCUGCAUUCUUGGUUUUAGGUUGGGGUGACCGCGGAGCACAAUACAGCCUCCACGAUGAACGGGAUUACCCCCUUA